rnacentral:rRNA from 1 species
UACAGAGGGGGCAAGCGUUGUUCGGAAUUACUGGGCGUAAAGGGCGCGUAGGCGGCCGCCUAAGUCAGACGUGAAAUCCCUCGGCUCAACCCGGGAACUGCGUCCGAGACUGGCAGGCUCGAAUCCGGGAGAGGGAUGUGGAAUUCCAGGUGUAGCGGUGAAAUGCGUAGAUAUCUGGAGGAACACCGAUGGCGAAGGCAGGUCUCUGGGCAUUAACUGACGCUGAGGAGCGAAAGCAUGGGGAGCGAACAGG